rnacentral:tRNA from 1 species
GCGAGGGUGGCUCAAUGGUAGAGUGCUUGCCUUGCAUGCAUGAGGCCCUGGGUUUGAUUCCUCAGCAUCACA